UAGCUAAGGUUUUCAGCCCCUGGGGACAAGUGAAGAUUUUGCGCCCUUUUCUUUGUGCCAGGAAUGGAAAACAUUUCAUUAAAAAAUUUUGUAAUAUCAGUUUGGCGUCCCCUGGAUGCUGCGCCCGAGGACAGAUGUCCCCCCUUGCCCCAUCCUAGCUGUGCCACUGUCUGUCCUGCAGUCGUCCAUAUAGCUACGAUGCCUCUAAUAUCGAAAUUAAAUCCUUCCUCUCAAACCAUUCCUCUAUAAGCAUGAUAAUGACUGCUACAGAUAAAAGUUUAGUUGAAAAAGGAGAAGAAAAAUGCACUCAUUUAAUUGAAGCUCACAAGGAAUGUAUGAAGAAAUUAGGCUUCAAUAUAUGAUGAAUUACAUUUUGUAAACACUGUAAAAGCUUACAGUAUAAUUAAGAAUUACCUCUCAGCAGGAAUUUGUAAAACUACUUAUGUAUAUAAUUGUAAAAUGAUUUAGACUGGAAAAUAAAAUUUCCAGUUUAAAAAAA
rnacentral:lncRNA from 1 species